rnacentral:rRNA from 1 species
AGUGAACGCUGGCGGUAGGCCUAACACAUGCAAGUCGAACGGCAGCACAGGAGAGCUUGCUCUCUGGGUGGCGAGUGGCGGACGGGUGAGGAAUACAUCGGAAUCUGCCCAGUCGUGGGGGAUAACGUAGGGAAACUUACGCUAAUACCGCAUACGACCUUCGGGUGAAAGAGGGGGAUCGCAAGACCUCUCGCGAUUGGAUGAGCCGAUGUCGGAUUAGCUAGUUGGCGGGGUAAUGGCUCACCAAGGCGACGAUCCGUAGCUGGUCUGAGAGGAUGAUCAGCCACACUGGAACUGAGACACGGUCCAGACUCCUACGGGAGGCAGCAGUGGGGAAUAUUGGACAAUGGGCGCAAGCCUGAUCCAGCCAUACCGCGUGGGUGAAGAAGGCCUUCGGGUUGUAAAGCCCUUUUGUUGGGAAAGAAAUCUUUCAGGCUAAUACCCUGGGAGGAUGACGGUACCCAAAGAAUAAGCACCGGCUAACUUCGUG